AAUAUUUUUUUCAAUCCCCUUUCUUUGUAUCUUCUUCUUCUGGGACCCCUGUAAUUAGAAUGUUGGUGCACUUAAUGUUGUCCCAUUGGUCUCUGUGACUGUCCUCAUUUCUUUUUUUUUUUUUUUUCUUUAUUCUUCUCUGCUUCAGUUAUUUCCAC